rnacentral:rRNA from 1 species
GUGCGGCUGCAUACUGCAGUCGAACGCUUCUUUCCUCCCGAGUGCUUGCACUCAAUUGGAAAGAGGAGUGGCGGACGGGUGAGUAACACGUGGGUAACCUACCCAUCAGAGGGGGAUAACACUUGGAAACAGGUGCUAAUACCGCAUAACAGUUUAUGCCGCAUGGCAUAAGAGUGAAAGGCGCUUUCGGGUGUCGCUGAUGGAUGGACCCGCGGUGCAUUAGCUAGUUGGUGAGGUAACGGCUCACCAAGGCCACGAUGCAUAGCCGACCUGAGAGGGUGAUCGGCCACACUGGGACUGAGACACGGCCCAGACUCCUACGGGAGGCAGCAGUAGGGAAUCUUCGGCAAUGGACGAAAGUCUGACCGAGCAACGCCGCGUGAGUGAAGAAGGUUUUCGGAUCGUAAAACUCUGUUGUUAGAGAAGAACAAGGACGUUAGUAACUGAACGUCCCCUGACGGUAUCUAACCAGAAAGCCACGGCUAACUACGUGCCAGCAGCCGCGGUAAUACGUAGGUGGCAAGCGUUGUCCGGAUUUAUUGGGCGUAAAGCGAGCGCAGGCGGUUUCUUAAGUCUGAUGUGAAAGCCCCCGGCUCAACC